GCAAAUCAUUGGAGCUGAAGACACAAGACGAGAAGCCGUCCAAAUUAAAUGUUGCAUGGCUAGCCAGUGUUAGCUACAUACUAUCAUAUCACACAUUCUCUGAUAAAUUCGGAUGUGAUUUUGCUCGAUUACAAAUGUUUAGUACACCCUUUGGUAUUGCUAAAUAUACCCCUGGAUUUUUUUUCUGUCUUUAAACACGUUUAACUCACAUUUUAGAGCUGCGAAACAGCAACAGUACGCUACUGUAUUUGAUUGUUCUGUGGUCGAAAAUCUGAUAGCUGUUAGUUUUAGGUAUAUUGAAAAAUACCUGAUUACAAUAUAAUAUAUUACGUUGAUUAAAUCCGAUUACUCAGAAAUUAUUGUACCUAUACACGGUGAAAUGUGUAUUAUGAUAGUAUAUUAAUUAUUCUAUUCGUUGUAUAUGGUGAAAUGUGUAUUUUCCUGGAGGUUAUUUGAUGAGAAACAAAGGCUUCUGUUGGCCAGCCAAACCAUUUCCAUGACAACAAAGACCCGCUACGGGGUCCUAAAAGUCACGUGAUACAUUUUCAAAAACAUUCGGCGGAAAAUGGUCGUUAUUAGUUACCACAGCCACAAAGUCAUAAAUUAGGUCUAAAACCAGCCUAUUUCUAGAAUUCAUAUUUUUUAAAUCUGAUUUUAAAACUAACCCUAACCUGAAACGUAUCUACAAUGUUAACCAUAACCUUUGUUUUAAUGUGUUUUUAACGAUAAAGCCCCAUUUUAACUUUGUGGCUGUGGUAACUAGUGGAAAAUAAGUUGGUAUGCAGCUAUUAAUUAAACGUAGUUAGCUAACGUUACAGUUCGUCCUGAAGUCAGAUGAUUGCAUAACAGUCGGUUUCUUGCUUGCUUAGCUACGUUACUACUAGUAGACUCAACAAGAAUGGCUCCUCACAAGGUUGUUGUCAAGUGUGGGAGCUAUGCGGUGCUGUUGGAUCUCCAGAUCAUUGGGCCUCUGGGCCGCGGAUCACCACAGGAAACCAGCUGGUUCACUAUGGAGCACACUGAGGAGGUCACUAAUCUGGUGAGAGAUGCUGUGGACCGGAGGGUGAGGCUCUACAUAGACUGCCUUCACAAGAGAGGACAGCCCAAACACAAGAGAGAGCUGCCACAUGCCAACCCCCUCUGUGUGAAAGGUAGGAUUCUCAUCUGUAACCUCUGA
rnacentral:lncRNA from 1 species